UACGGAGGGUGCAAGCGUUAUCCGGAUUCACUGGGUUUAAAGGGUGCGUAGGUGGGUUGGUAAGUCAGUGGUGAAAUCUCCGUGCUUAACAUGGAAACUGCCAUUGAUACUACUGGUCUUGAAUACUGUGGAGGUCAGCGGAAUAUGUCAUGUAGCGGUGAAAUGCUUAGAUAUGACAUAGAACACCAAUUGCGAAGGCAGCUGGCUACACAAAUAUUGACACUGAGGCACGAAAGCGUGGGGAUCAAACAGG
rnacentral:rRNA from 1 species